rnacentral:rRNA from 1 species
UACGUAGGGCGCAAGCGUUGUCCGGAAUUAUUGGGCGUAAAGAGCUCGUAGGCGGUUUGUUACGUCCGCUGUGAAAACCCAGGGCUUAACCCUGGGCUUGCAGUGGAUACGGGCAGACUAGAGGUAGGCAGGGGAGAAUGGAAUUCCCGGUGUAGCGGUGAAAUGCGCAGAUAUCGGGAGGAACACCGGUGGCGAAGGCGGUUCUCUGGACCGAGACUGACGCUGAGGCGCGAAAGCGUGGGGAGCAAACAGG